UAAUUCUUAGGCAACAUACACCUAACCUAAUGUAGUAUCUAAUAUCUAAAAAAACCUAAACAAAAAAAAUACAACACCAGUUGCAUCUUCAAAAUUAAAAGCAGCCUUUCCCUUCGUCCAAGACAACACGCUAAAACGAGCAACCAUCCUCAGGAAAUCAUCAUCAUCAUCUUUCUCUCAAACGUAAAGGAAAAGCACAUACAGAUAGAAGGAAAAGCAGUGACCAAAAGUAAUCUCCUAAACUAAGGUAGUUGCUUCAGCUCUUUUACAUUAAAUCAUCACCAAAUUCUUUGUUAAAACCAGUCCAUAACCCAGUAGCUUAACACCACAUCCAAAUACCACUUCUUCUGCACAAACCUCCCAAACAUCUCAUAGAAUUUGGUAAAAUAAAAUAAAUGGGGUUCUGGUGUUCUGUUUCUAUUCGCGUUACGCUCUAGAUCCUGUUCAUGUAUUGGAUGCCGAUUUCGGUCCGAGUUCACUAGCUCGCUUGAGGAUUACUGUUCUAGGGCUUCUAUUUUCAUUGUAUUUGCUCUGAAGUUUCAGUAAUCAAAGGUCUGUUCUUCUAUCUUUUCACUAGUUAUUUUAUCUAUGUAUCUCCUUAUUUGUGGGUAUAACUGAAUAGACGAUAUAAAGCUUUAAUUUGUUUUACUAAUGCUUGGUAUUGUAUCUUUGUUUAGUGGAUUAAUGUUUGAGGUUAAUCAUAUUUUAAUUUGAUGAAUCUCGAAUCAGAUCUUAUAUUGAAUAAAAGCAAUAAUGUCACCAGUAGAGAAUAUUGAGUUGCAUAGAUUUAUGGUUGAACUUUUAUUUCAAUUAGACUCAUAAAUACAAUUGACCAAAUAAUUCUGCAUUUUUAUGGUCUCUGUGUGUUUUGUAUAAAUUUUGGUUUUCUUUGGGUUAGGCAUUGGUCUUUGUAGGUACACUCUGAAUUAAGAGAAUUGGGGUUAUAUAGAUAAAUUUAGCGUAUGUGAGCAUUAAUUUAAAAUUGGAAAGUGUUGGAUUUCUUUUAUUUUUUUUAAAGUGGUCAUCACAAGUUCAUCUCUUUCUACCUAUAAUAGAUAUUAUUCAUAAAUUAUGGCCUUGCAACAACCUCAAAUUGGUUUAGGAAAAUAAAUAAUGUCCAAACAUCCGUAGUUUACUUUAAAUUGAGUGCAACCCAUUAGAAUAGUUUGAGGCGUGUCGUGCCGAAUAAUAUCUCAAAAUGUAUGGCCCUCACUUAUUUAUUUCUUUUAAAAUCCUUAGAACUCGAGGCAUUCCAUCUAGCAAAUUUUCAUGGCCCUCGCAAAGUUAAAAAUGCGUAGUUGUUUUAGGCGCGUUAUUUUAAUAAUAUUACUUUUUUAAACUCGGGUGUACAUUUUAUGUGACCCGAUAAUGUUGAAUAAAAUGUGUUUCGGAUUGUGGGUGUAUUUCAUGUGGCGCGAUCCAAAGAUAUAUUUUAGACGAUGUUAAAUCUUCCUAAAUUAAUUAAAAGCGGUUAAUAAGUGAAAAAUUGUACCAUAGGCUAAAAGAUAGUUUAAAAUCAUAUAAUAGGCCAAUUAUGAUAGUUUAAGAGACCAUGCUAGAACCACGGGGGGUGCCUAACACCUUUCCUCGGGUUAACAGAAUUCCUUAUUCAAAAUUUCUAGUUCGUAGACUUCAAAAGGAAAGUCAAAUUUUCCUUGAUUUGAGAUUUUAAAAUAAACCGGUGACUUGGGAUACCAGAAAACAAACGAUCCCAAGUGGCGACUGUGAAUAAAAUCGAAUAAAUAAUCUCAUUUCGAACCAUGUCAUAUUAAUUGGAAAAACAACCUUGUACUACCUUUGGGUGGGAAAAAAAGAGGUGUGACAGCUCUGGCAACUCUGCUGGUGUCACGACCCAACCCCGGUCGUGAUGGCGCCAAACACCUUGUAAGGCAAGCCUGACUAUAUAAUCAAUCCCAGCCAAAACAAUGACUACAUUACCAGUUUUAGAUAAAAUCUCAGGUUAAUAACCAUAGAAAUACUGCGAAAAAACAUAACAUCAGUUAUAACAACACAACAGAUCCAGCGUCACAAGUCUGAGCCUCUAAAUACACUGAGUAGUGACCAAAACACAGUAAAGUCUAGAAAUUUUUCUGAAAUUUUUGUAUAGAAAAAUAAAAUAAAAUAAAAUAAAACAAAAGAAAAAACAAAAAAUCAAAAUCUAAAAUACGAGUUUCCUUCAUUUUCAAGUAUUUUUCAAAAAAAAAAAAUCAAAUCAAAAUUCAGAAACGAAAAUUCAAAAAUAUUCGGUUCUUCUUUAGAAGCCUUUCUUUUAUAAAUGUCCAUAAAAAUUUCAAAAUUGAAGUCCAAAAAUAUUUUCACAUUUUCUUUAGAAGUACUUUUGUAAGUAAAUAAAAAUACUCAGAAAUCCAAAAUAUUUUCUUAAAAAGUCCCUUUUUCGAAAAUUAAGAGGCAACUUCCAACCAUAUUUUCUUUCUUCCUUAGAAAAAGGUAAAACAAAUAAGAAUUCAAAUAAAAAUAUUUUCUUUUUUACUUCUAAAAUUCUCAAAAGUUCAAAUCGAAAGCAAAUAAAUUUUUAGAAGGUUUUUUUCAAAAACAAAACAAAAAAAUCAAAAUAGAAAAAAUAUUUCUUUUCUUCUUCUAAAGCAUUUCUUUCAAAUAUUUCAAAAAAAAGUUAGUAUACCUACUUCAUUCUCGAUCUUCCCGAACUACGCAAGUUCUGAUUCAUACGGAGUCUUGAUACGUAGGCAAACUCUAUCGGAUUCGAUCAUAGCUAUAAAAUUAGUUGAGUAAAAAAAUAAACAGAAAAAAAGAAAAAAAAGAAGAAAAAUAAAAGAGAGUGACAAAAAAUAAAAGCACGGCAAAAACAAAAAAAGAGUGCAAAAAGUAAAAGAGCAACAAAAAUGAGAUGAAAAAAAUCAAGAUUGAUUAAAGAGAUGCAAGAAUGGAGAAAAGAGCUACAGAGUGAAAAGGGCUAAUUAAGGUCGGGAUGAAAUAUGCAACAUGUUGAAACACAGGGUAGAAGCGUUUAACUGUUAGCUGCAUUGCAUCCCAACGCGCGAUUUCCUAUAUGUUAAAUGUCUCAAAACUAACUAGGUUGUUGGUGUGAGCGAAUUAGCCAGGUUUUGUUUAGGUGGUUGGUUUUGUUGGUAUGCGGUGAUGAACGCGCAACUUUGCACGCGGCCACAAUAUUAUACACAAAGCCGAGCUCCACCUCCCAGAAAUACCCAUCCUUACCAAGCUCCAUAUAAUCCCCAAUCAAAUAUUCCCCAGUAUAAUUCUCGCUGAGAAAGCCUUUUAAAAGGAAUUAGUUCACACAUAUUUGGUAAAUCAUACUCGGGCUUGUUCCAAAAGCUAGUCAGGCGAGGUCUGCUACAGCAAAUUGCUCAAAUCCGGCCGAACCCCGAGUUCCCACUGCACUGAGUUGAUGGUGGAUGUGAAUACCACUCUGGAGCAGUGAGACACGUUACAGAGGACUGUUGGACCCUCAAACUGGUAGUUGAAGAUUUUAUUGAAGCCGUAUGAAUUGUUUUUAGGAUGAAGAAUCUCUUGAUGCGAUGAACAAUCUAUUGACUGCCUACAAUGAAUGGUUAAUAGUCGGAAUGAUUUCUUAAGAUGAGGAAUUUGAUUAGGCACUGAAGGCCAUUGCAUGUGCACCCGACCCUUCUUCUUUUGUAUUUCAUCCCCGUUAUCCCCAUAUUAUGCUUCCCCGUGUGUUAGUAUAUGUGUUUGGUGAGUUUGAAGUGUUUCGGAUUGAAUUUGGAUAGAAAUGAGACAAAUUGUCUCUUUAAGGAAAAGCUUAAGUUGGACAAGUCAACCGGACAUUGACUUUAAGAGUUAGAGGGCUCAGAACGAAUUUCCAACGGCUCGACUACCAGCUCUGGACACGCUCGAGGACGAGCAGUUGUUUAAGUUGGGGAGGAUGUGACGACCUGAUCCGUCGUCUCUUGUAUCUCCGCCCCGUUAUCCCCAUAUUAUGCUUCCCCGUGUGUUAGUAUAUGUGUUUGGUGAGUUUGAAGUGUUUCGGAUUGAAUUUGGAUAGAAAUGAGACAAAUAGUCUCCUCAAGGAAAAUUUGAGUUGAAAAAGUCAACAGAACAUUGACUUGUGAGUUAGAGGGCUCGGAACAGAUUUCCGAUGGUCCGACUAGUUUCGAGGAAUGAUUUAUGGCUUGGGAGAGAAAAUGGAAUUUAAAUUGGAGGUCCGGUGUAGGAAUAGGCUUGAAUUGGCUAAGUUGAAUUUCAACGAAUUUUCGAUUGAUAAGUGAGAUUUUGAUCUGGGGUCGGAAUGGAAUUUCGAGAAUUUCAGUAGCUUCGUUAGGUGAUUUUGGAUAUGUAUGCAAAUUUUCAGGUCAUUCAGAAGUGUUUAGGUUGGGUUUUGGAUCGAAUGAGAUUUUGGAAAGUUCAUGUUUAACUUAAGAGUUGAAUUUGAGGAUUUUGGUGAUUUUUGGUGUUAGGGUUAGUGUUUUUAUGGCCCGAGCAAGUAUGAAGGAGGUAUUAAGUCGUGUUGGUGCUUUUGGUUGAGGUCUCGAGGGCAUCGGGGUGAUUUCAGAUGGUUAACGGAAGGAUUUUUUGCUUGGAAAGGUAGCAGAUUUUCAGUUGUAGGUGUUGUAGAGAUUUGGCCUUCGUGAUCGCGUGAAUCGAGUUACAAUCACGUAGGAUUGGGUUCUGGGUGCUUUGCGAUCACGUGGGUUGAGUUGCAAUCACGUAGUUGAGGCAUCUUAAGCAUCGCGUUUGCGGCCUGGGCAUCGCGUUCGCGUAAGGUAAAUUCCAAGCCUACGAUUUUUGGGCAUCGCGAUCGCGUGGGUGGUGACCAUGAUCGCGAAGAGAAAAGUGCAUCUGGGCAGACCUAUUUUAAUAGAAAUUUUAUCCACGGACUGUUUCAUAUUUCCUCCAUUUUUGCAUCACCUUGAGAGUUUGUUGAUGGAUUUUGAAGGGGAUUUCGACGGGAAGUGAUUGGAGGUAAGUCUCGUGGCCUUAAUACGUCAUUUUAUUGAAGAAUCAACCAUUAAUUCUUUGAAAUUGGGUGUAAAAGUUGAUGAACCAGGGCUUGAAAUAUCAAAAUUAAAAGUAGUGAUUUUGAGGAGCAAUUGGACUUCGAUUUUGAUGAAUUUUAUAUGUAUUGACUCGUGGCGUGACGAGGAUUCUGAAAAUGUGAAUUUCGUAAUUUUUCGAAAAGUGAGCCCGGUGCUCGGGUUUUGCCAACUUUGUGUUUUUGGGUGUAUUUCGAGUUAUUUCGAUUGGAUUAUGUUCCAUUGGCCUAUUUUGACUUAUUCCUAUUGGUUUUGAUCAUAUUUGGCAUCCGCGGAGGUUGAUCCUCGAGGGAAAAGCAUUGCGAGCUAGUUUGCGGCCGGCUUGAGGUGAGUAAUGGGUGUAGAUGAUGACCUGAGGGCUUGAAACCUCGGUAUAUCACAUUGUGACGCUGUUAUGAGGCUAGAAACACACACCAUGGCUAGUGCGGGGUCGUAUAUGUUGGAAAUUAUGACUCGGUCCAAUCCGAGGGAUAGAUUGUACUAUGUUGGCGAUUGCUUCGCAUACUAUGUUGAUGAUAUCUGGGCUUGAUACCAUGUUUGGGUCCUUAUGCCGACUUGUAAGAUCCUUCAGGGAUCAUUAUCUCAGAAUUAUCAUGAUUUGCAUAUUAUUUGAAGUCAGUCCAGGUUUAAAUACUAUUUUUGCAAAAAACUCAAAUGAUUUUUAGAUGAUAUUUCGGGCUGACGAGUACUAUAUUACUAUUUUUGGACAGUAUAAUAUUUUAAAAAGAAACGGUGGUAACUAUGGACACCGUGUAUUUUUAAAUGGAAACGGUGGUAACUAUGGACACUGUGAAUUUUUAAGUGGAAAUGGUGGUAACUAUGGGCACCGUGUAUUUUAAAUGAAAAUGGUGGUAACUACGGACACCGUGUAUUUUAACUUGAAAUGGUUGUAACUAAGGACACCGUGCAUUGUAUUGGAAACGGUGGUAACUAUUGGCACCGUGUAUUGUAAUGGAAACGGUGGUAACUAUUGGAACUGUAUGAUAUGGCGCUUGGGCUGUAGGAUCCCCUCCGGAGUCUGAACCUUCACAGUGAGCGCGGGUACCCAUAUGGAUCGGGCUGCACGUUCUGCAGUGUUCAUGCAUUGCAUUGCAUAUCAUGCAUUUAUUUACUAUUGCUUUAUCUGUAUAUCUUCGAGGCUUGUACUGUAUAGAACUGCUAGAUAGCUUCAUCUUGUGUUAUUUCGUAUUUUCUUAUCUUCGGGUUUUAGUACAUGCUUAUUACUCGCUGAGUGGGUUGAAUCACCCCAUACUCCAUGCACUUUGUGUGCAUAUCCAGGUGCUCCAGAGACCUAGUGCUACUGCUGUUGAUUACCCGAGCUAUUCAGAGUACUGAGUAGCUGCCUAGCGUCCGCAGGACAACUUACUCUGUCUCUAUCAGUCAUGUUCCUUUUGCUAUGUUGUCAGACUUUGUAUCAUUUCCGUUCAGACUUGUAUCUUGGUUUAUUAGAGGCUCUGUACUCGUGACUCCUUUGUUUUGAGAGGAUUAUUGUCUUGCUCAGUUGCGUUUUCAUUGGUAUUGUCUAUCCCUGGUUGAAAGUUUGAUAUUAAAUUCGAGCUUUUAUCCUGAAUUGUUUCUUUUUGGAUGGAAUUCCGUUUUGGUUGUGGUUUGGUCGGGCUUGCCCAGCCUCGUGGCCGGGCGCCAUCACGACCCGGUUUGGGGUCGUGAAAUGUUGGUAUCAAAGCCUAGGUUUACUAAGCCUCACGAUUCAUGAGCCGGUUUAGUAGAGUCUUGUUUAUGGGUGUGUCGUGCACCACACUUAUAAGCAGGAGGCUACAAAACCUUUAGUAAAGACUCCACUUUCUUGAAAACUUAUCGUGCGUCCUUGAUUCAGCUUUAAAGAGUAACUCUUGAAAUUCCUUCCACGUGUUCACAUGCAUGCAUGAGUGCUCGGUAUUAUAUGUGCUUCGAUGGCUUGCGAUUCCCCAAUCGAGGGGCAAGAUGUAAUCUUCAUGAGGUUGAUGUUGGGCCAGUCUGGAGGACUUGAGGCCGGGCGUUGCCUAAGGCUAAGCACUGAGGUGCUGACUGUAUGAUCAAGUGUUAUUAGUCGGAAUGGCAGUUGGGUGAUCGUGUGAUGAGUAUGCUAGUACUGCAAGAUGUAAUUAUAUGACCUGAUAGUGACGAAGGAGUCUGCUAGCUAAUGGAUGAACUGUCAAGUGAUUUGUUUCCUAUGGUGGUNNNNNNNNNNNNNNNNNNNNNNNNNNNNNNNNNNNNNNNNNNNNNNNNNNNNNNNNNNNNNNNNNNNNNNNNNNNNNNNNNNNNNNNNNNNNNNNNNNNNNNNNNNNNNNNNNNNNNNNNNNNNNNNNNNNNNNNNNNNNNNNNNUGCGCGUGAAGAAUCUUUUCGAGUCUCCUAGCUGGGAGUGUGUGUGUUGUGGUAUGAGUCCAUACUCAGGAAGACCAAUUGAUUGCGUGAGGAGUAUGACCGUGGAUGAUGUACCGAAAUAUUAUAUUGAAGAAAGCAGGUGGGUAUCCCUACAGAUUUAUUCUGAAAUGGCAUGAUCAUUAUGUGUAUGUUAUGAGAUCUUAUGUGUAAUUAAAAAGUAUUUUCUAUAUGUUAGGAUUCGAACAGGUGCAACACAUGUUCAUGUGUCAAUUUUGAUAAUAUAAUACGUGUAGCAUUGGGAUUUCUGUUAUUGAUAUACAUUGUGAUGUCUUGUAAUGUUGUGGACGUGUUGUUAGGAUGGUUUUGGUGGUUCUCUGGCAGAUGGAUAUGCUCAAUUACAAAGGAAACUCUGCCGAAAUUUUUGAAAAAUUUGGGACUUAGUAAAAAUCUUGCCGCCUAGAAGAGUGGGCUUCGCGGUUGUGUGAAUGAAAGAAAAUGCAGUAGGAUUAUAAUUUCUGAUGAUUCUUGUUUCCACAAGCUUGUGAAAGAGUUAGUUUAAUCUCGCCAUGAUAUUGCGAUAGCAAUAGAGUACAUUUGUUGUGAUGUAUAUUGCUUCGAGCUAAGUGGGGGAGGUUGCUGUGGAUGAGCUGAUUGAACUGUUAUGUACUGUGUUAAUUUCAAAUCGAUACAUGUGAGUGAAUCAGUUCUGGUUGCAGAAAAUGAGCCGAGGGUGGUACGAGUGAAACGAAAUUUUGCCAAAGGUUAUAUGGUGCUUCGUAUAUGUGGGAAAAUGAGAGAAUGUCUUGAGAUGACGAUAAGGGAUGCUUAGUGUUAAGAGAAGGAAGUUGUUUGGUUGUAUCAGAAUGAGAUCACGUCUUGUAGUGUCAGAGUGCUGAUAAGGCACAAGUGGUUUCAAUUCAUUAAGUCAAGUGAAUUGCCGUGUGUGUAAGAGUGAUGACUUUCGAGAAUAUUGUGGAUGUGUUCAAGAUUCUAUAUGUAUCACUCAGGUGUUUUAAGGUUGGGUAUGUGACCAAGUCAGUGUUUUCAUUAGAACAUGUCAAGACUUGUGGUAUUUUAUGUUAAUUACUGGAAUUCUAUGUAUCAGUAUUUAGGAAAGUAAUGGCAACUAAUUUAGAGUCGCAGGAAGUUCUUCGCGUAAGGUACUCUGGGAUGUGGUAUUUCUGAGGACGUUUGAGGAGGUAUUCAGAGGCCUAUGGGUCUUAGACAGUGCGGUCUGGUGUUUGGAUUUCGCAUAGUGAGCCUGGGUUGAGGAUUGUGGUGCUACAACAAGAGGGUACAUCAAGUUGAAAAUGAAUCAUGUGUGAAUCUAGACAAAUAAAAGAAUUUGUUAGGGGACCGAAUCGGUAUGGUAGGUAUGAUCAAUCGUUGGUAUGUGUUUGAGGUAAUGGGCUCUUACAAGCAUAGGGCAGCGAAGCUCCUGAGUACUGGAAGUCGUCUUAGCUUGGUUCAGGUAGAGGGAUUCCGUAUUUGGCAGUUUAAUUUGUGCAAAUAGAAUUGAGAGAAAAUUCUUGUUGAGUUCAUCAUGGUUUAGAGAUGUGUAGUAUCUAAGGUCACGCGGAGCAUGGUGUGUAAUAAUCUUCUUUUAAAUGGGAUCAAUGAAAGUUCUAGACUAGUUGAGUGCGUCGAUGUCUGCGGCGCAGAAGGGAUCAUGCGGAGCAUGGAGUGUGUAAUGAUCUUCUUUUAAAUGGGAUCAAUGAAAGUUCUAGUCUAGUUGAGUGUGUCGAUGUCUGCGGCGCAGAAGGGAGAUAAACGUUCUCGUGUUAUCCUUGGAGGAUAUGGUAUAUGCGGUAUGUUGUAAAUGACCGAGAUGGGCGUGUGCGAGGUUUCGCUUCAGUUCUGAAAGGUAUGGUGAUUUGGCUUUGUCUUAAAUAGCGAGUAGCUUUAGGUAAUCAAGGAAAUGACACCUUUAAUUUGAAGUGAUUUUGCGAUAGCAACAAGUAUCCACUACCUCGUAUUGCGGAUUUGUUUGACCAGCUUCAGGGGGCAAAGGUAUUCUCGAAGAUUGAUCUUCGUUCAGGCUAUCACUAGCUGAAUAUUAGAGAUUCUGACAUCAUGAAGACAGCUUUCAGGACUAGAUAUGGGCAUUAUGAGUUUUUGGUAUGUCCUUUGGGCUGAGAAAUGCCCCAGCCGCAUUCAUGCACCUGAUGAACAGUGUAUUUCGGCCAUAUUUGGAAUAUUUUGUGAUCCUUUUUAUUGAUGAUAUACUGGUGUACUCGCGUAGCCAGGAGGAGCACGCGCAACACUUGAGGGUGGUAUUGCAGAGGUUUAGAGAGGAGAAGCUCUAUGAAAAGUUCUCCAAGUGUGAGUUCUUGCUCAGUUCCGUGGCUUUUCUGGGACACGUGGUGUCCACUGAUGGUAUUCAGGAUGACCCAAAGAAGAUCGAGGCGGUUCAGAGUUGGCCCAGACCAUCCUCAGCUACUGAGAUUCGGAGUUUCCUCGGUUUGGCGGGUUUUUACCGUAGGUUCGUCCAGGGUUUUCAUCUAUUGCUUCGCCUUUGACGAAGUUGACGCAGAAGAAUGCACCAUUUGUAUGGUCAUAUGAGUGCAAGGAGAGCUUUCAAAGGCUCAAGUUAGUGUUGAAAAAGGACAUUGUGAGUUACGCGACUAGGUGUCUCAAUUAUCAGCAGGUCAAAUAUGAGCAUCAGAGACCCGGUGGUGUGCUUUAGCAGAUGGAUAUUCCAGAGUGGAAAUGGGAGAGGAUUACUAUGGACUUUGUUAGUGGUCUCCCCUCAUACCUUGAGGAAUUUUAAUUCUAUUUGGGUGAUUGUUGAUAGGCUGACCAAGUCUGUGCACUUCAUUCCGGUGUGUACUACCUACUCUUCGGAGCGAUUAGCAGAGAUUUUCCUCCGAGAGAUUGUGCGGUUGCAUGGGGUCCCAGUUUCUAUUGUCUCAGAUAGGGGUAUUCAGUUUUCUUCCCAGUUCUGGAAGACCUUUCAUCGGGAUUUGGGCACUCAGAUUCAGAUGAGCACAGUUUUUCAUCCUCAGACGGACGGACAGUCGGAGCGUACUAUUCAGAUAUUGGAGGACAUGUUGCAUGCAUGUGUUAUUGAUUUCGGAGGUUCUUGGGCUGAGUUCUUGCCGCUUGCAGAGUUUGCUUAUAGCAAUAGUUAUCAGUCCAGCAUUCAGAUGGCACCAUAUGAGGCUUUAUAUGGGAGACGGUGUAGAUCUCUAGUUUGUUGGUUUGAGCCCGGCGAGGCUAGAAUUUUGGGGACAAAGUUAGUACAAAAUGCGUUGGAGAAAGUGAAAGUUAUCCAGGAGAGACUUCCUAAUGCUUAGUCGCGUCAGAAGAGUUAUGUGGACCGGAUGGUUCGGGAUGUAUCAUAUAUGGUGGGCGAUAAGGUGUUGUUGAAGGUUUCACCUAUGAAAGGCGUGAUAAGGUUUGGUAAGAAAGGGAAGCUGAGUCCACGAUUUAUUGGACCUUUUGAGAUUCUCAUGAGGAUUGGGGAGGUGGCCUAUAUGCUUGCUUUGCCGCCCCACUUGUCGGGGGUUCAUCCGGUGUUCCAUGUUUCUAUGCUCAGGAAGUAUGUUGGGGACCCGUCUCAUGUAUUAGACUUCAGCACGAUCCAGUUAGAUGAGGAUUUGACCUAUGACGUGGAGUCAGUGGCUAUAUUGGGUCGAAGGGUCGAAAGUUGAGAUCAAAAGACAUAGCUUCGGUGAAGGUGAAGUGGAAAGGUCGGCCCGUGGAGGAGGACACUAUAGAUGAGGAUUUGACCUAUGAUGUGGAGCCAGUUGCUAUUUUGGGUCGACAGGUUUGGAAGUUGAGAUCAAAAGACAUAGCUUCGGUGAAGGUGCAAUGGAGGGGUCGGCUUGUGGAGGAGGCCACUUGGGAGACGGAGCAGGAGAUGCGGAGCAGAUAUCCUCAUUUGUUUGAGGCCCCAAGUAUGUUUCUUGACCCGCUCGAGGACGAGCAUUUGUUUUAGUUGGGGAGGAUGUGACGACCCGACCCUUCGCCUUUUCUAUUUCAGCCCCGUUAUUCUCGUUUUAUGCUUCCUCGUGUGUUUAUAUAUGUGUUUGAUGAGAUUGAAGUGUGUUGGGUUGAAUUUGGUUAAAAAUGAGACCAAUAGUCUCUUUAAGGAAAACAUAAGUUGGAAAAGUCAACCGGACGUUGACUUGUGUGUUAGAGGGAUGGAAACGGAUUUAUGACAAUUCUACUAGUUUCGGAUGGGGAUUUAUGACUUGGGAGUGAAGUCGGAACCAAAUUUGGAGGUCCGGUGUAGAAUAAGGCUUGAAUUGGUUAAGUUCGAAUUUUGGCGAAUUCCAGUUGAUAGGUGAGAUUUUGAUCCGGGGGUCGGAAUGGAAUUUCGAGAGUUGCAGUAGCUUUUUUAGGUGAUUUCGGAUAUGUAUGCAAAUAUUCAGGUCAAUCGGACGUCCUUUGGUUGGAUUUUGGAUCAAAUGCGAAUAUGGAAAAGUAAUAAUUUGAUUUAGGCUUGAAUUUGAGAAAUUUGAUGAUUUUGAUGUUAACGCUGGUUUUUUAUGGCCCGAGCGAGUUUGAAUGAAGUUUUAGAUCAUGUUAGUGCUUUUGGUUGAGGUCCCGGGGGGAGGGGGGAGGGGUGAUUCCGGGUGGCUAUCGGAAGGAUUUGAAGUGGGAAAUGUUGCAGAUUUUGAAGGUUCAGCAGUUGCAAAUAAUGGUUCUAUGCGAUCGCAGGUUUGGCUCCGCGAUCGCGUAGAAAGCCUGCUGGGGGUCCUGAGGUUGUUCAAUCCGAUCGCGUGUUCGUGGCUGCGAUCGCGUAGGUUGGGGGAGUUGUGCUCUGCAUUCGCAGAGGCUUGUUUGCGAUCGCAUAGGUUUGGUGGGUGAAGCAGUGCGAUCACAGGGUUAAGGUCGCGUUCGCAUAGGCCAUUGGGGGAGACCUGAGAAGUUGUUCUAUGCGAUCGCAGGAGGAAGUUCGCGAUCGCAUAGAGGAAAAGUCACCUGAGCAGUUAAGUUUAAGGGUUAUUUCAUCCGCGAGCGUCAUAUUAUUUCCUCCAUUUUUACAAAACCUUGAGAGCUCAUUGACGCAUUUUGAAGGGGAUUUCAAUGGGAAGUGCUUGGAGGUACGUCUCGUGGUCUUAUUACGUCAUUUUAAUGAAGAAUCCACCAUUAAUUCUCUGAAAUUUGGGGUAAAAGUUGAUGAACUAGGGCUUGAAAUUUCAAACAAACAUUGGGGAUUUGGAGGAGCAAUUGGACUCCGAUUUUGAUGAAUUUUAUAUGUACAGAAUCGUGGCGAGACGAGGAUUCUGAAAUGUGAAUUUCGUAAUUUUUCGAGAAGUGGGCCUGGGGCUCGAAUUUUACAAACUUCGUGUUUUUGGGUGUUUUUCAAGUCCUUUCUAUUGGGUUAUGUCCCAUUAGCCUAUUUUGACAUAUUCCUUGUGAUUUUGGUCAGAUUCUACACUCGAGGAGGUCGAUACGCGAGGAAAGCGCAAGGCGAGCUAGUUUUUUCGCCGGUUUGAGGUGAGUAAUGGUUGUGAAUGAUAUACUGAGGGUUAAUACAUGUAUUUGCAGUAUGCGGUGCCAUGUUGAGAUGAGACACGCACCUUGUGAUGAGCGUGGUGAUGUAUCUGCUGAGUAUUCUGACUUGGUCCAUCCCGAUUGAUGACUUACUGUACUUCUUGACUGAGAGUGAGCUUGGGCUCGAUUAUUAUGGGCUAGUUGCCAUGUUUGUGGCCUUGUGCCGAUCUAUAGAACCCCUAGGGAGCAUGUUGAGCUGCUGACCUCACUUUACCUAUUGGACACAUGCUGUCUGUUAUGAUUUUGAAUGUAAAUAAUGAAAUGAACCGGACUCUGAAAUUUGCACCCUAAAUGAGCAACACCUAGGGUUAAAUACCCUGCCUUAGCUGAGUGGGCCCGAGAGGCCAAGUCUAUGUUGACUGAGAGGGGUCAAGGACCCCACACUGAGGCUAAAUGAUAUAUACACACAUAUAUCGGAUCGGGCUGCACGCCGCAACAGUAUAUACAUAUACAUAUAUUGGAUCGGACUGCACGCCGCAGUACUAUAUUAUAUGGAUCGGACUGCACGCCGCAAUGGUAUAUUAUAUGGAUCGGAUUGCACGCCGCAAUAUAUUUGCGCUUAGGCUGAAGGAGCCCCUCCAGAGUCUGUACACACCCCCCGUGAGUGCAACUGGCUAUAUCUAUUGGAACGGGUUGCGCGCCGCAUCAUCUUAUAUAUUAUAUUGGAUCGGGCUGUGCGCCGCAGCACUAUGUAUGUAUACCUGGUGUUGGAUCGGGGUGCGCGCCGCAUCAGUGUUAGUGACUUGUCAGACGGAAAGGAAAAUAUUUUAUCUGAUUUGUUCCUCUGUUGGGUACUUAUUUACUGUUCUUGCUGUUGCAAUUAGAACUGUGUAGUACUUUUACCGGUUUUCUUACAUUAAGUUAUUAUUUGUUGCUGUUACUCACUGGGUUGGUAGACUCACCCCAUACUCCCUGCACCUUGUGUGCAGAUACAGGGAUCCCGGAGGCGUAGCCCUGCUUAUUUGCUGUGGUCUAGUUCCAUCCCGGAGUUAUCAAGGUAGUUGCUGGCGUCCGCUGAACCUGAUGUCUCCUCUCAUUUAUCUUUUGCUUCUAUGUCUAGACUUUACUGUGUUUUGGUCACUACUCAGUGUAUUUAAAGGCUCAGACUUCUAACGCCGGAUCUGUUGUGCUGUUAUUACUGAUGUUACCGGUUUUCUUACAUUAAGUUAUUAUUUAUUGCUGUUACUCACUUAGUUGGUAGACUCACCCCAUACUUCCUGCACCUUGUGUGCAGAUACAGGGAUCCCGAGGCGUUACCCUGCUUAUUUGCUGUGGUCUAGUUCCAUCCCGGAGUUAUCAAGGUAGCUGCUGGCGUCCGCAGAACCUGAU
rnacentral:lncRNA from 1 species